UACGGAGGGUGCGAGCGUUGUCCGGAUUUAUUGGGCGUAAAGAGCGUGUAGGCGGCCAGACAGGUCAGCUGUGAAAACUCGAGGCUCAACCUCGAGACGUCGGUUGAAACCGUAUGGCUAGAGUCCGGAAGAGGAGAGUGGAAUUCCCGGUGUAGCGGUGAAAUGCGCAGAUAUCGGGAAGAACACCCGUGGCGAAGGCGGCUCUCUGGGACGGUACUGACGCUGAGACGCGAAAGCGUGGGGAGCGAACAGG
rnacentral:rRNA from 1 species